rnacentral:lncRNA from 1 species
AUGGACCAAAGAGAAAUUCUGCAGAAGUUCCUGGAUGAGGCACAACACAGGAAAAGUAACAAAGAGGAGUUUGCUAAUGAAUUUCUGAUGCUGAAAAGACUAUCCGCCAAAUAUAAGGCAGAAAAAACCUAUCCCACAACUGUGGCUGAGAGGCCCAAGAAUAUCAAGAAAAACAGAUAUAAGGAUAUUUUGCCCUAUGACCAUAGCCUAGUAGAACUGUUCUUGAUAACCUCUGAUGAGGAUUCCAGCUACAUCAAUGCCAACUUCAUUAAGGGAGUUUAUGGACCCAAGACUUAUAUUGCCACCCAGGGACCUUUGCCUACAACUGUCCUGGACUUCUGGAGGAUGAUUUGGGAAUACAGCAUCCUGAUAAUUCCUGAGAACUUCAGUGUUUUUAGUUUGAUCCAGGAAAUGCGAACACAGAGGCCUUCAUUAGUUCAAACUCAGCAACAGUAUGAACUGGUCUACAACGCUGUAUUAGAACUAUUUACGAGACAGAUGGAUGUUAUCAGGGAUAAACACUCUGGAACAGAGAUUCAAGCAAAGGACUCAGUUUUUGAGCAAAAUCCCAACAUAAAAGCAAAAUCUUAUUCUCCUAAUUUACCAAAAAGCAACAUAAAAGAAGCAAAAGUGAUGAACCAACAGAGCAAAGGAAGGAUAAGGGUGAAAAGUGCAGAAACUUCUUCCUUUGACCUCAGGACUUCUGAAAUAAAUGAAAAGGAAGGGUUAGACAUGCACCCUGCUAAACAGAGCAGUUCUUUAGAGUUUUUGGAACUGAACUGUGGUUGUAACAAAAAUGCUGACACAACCAUGAAAUGGGAGACAAAGGUAUUCCCAAUAGCUGGGGAGCCUCUUCAGAAGCAUCAGAGUUUGGACUUGAGUUCCAUUUUGUUUGGAGCAUAUCCUAAAUCUAAACCUGUAAAUGCAGCAGGAAGAUAUUCUAAUUUAAAGGUGCCAAUACUGCGGACCAAAUCAACUCCCUUUGAAUUGAUGCAACAGAGAGACAGCAAAGAGCUGGACAUAAAGGGAAAUUUUUAUUUGGAAUCUCAACCACACAACUGUUGUGUUGAUCAGGCUCAAAAAGUGAUGCAUGUUUCUUCAGCAGAACUUAAUUUUUCACCAUCACAUGACUCUAAGCAUCAAACGUGCAAUGCUGCUAAUCCAAAGCAGCAUGUCUCUGGUGCUUUUAAUGAGCAUUCUUAUAUGUCUUUAGUAGAAGAUCCUUAUUUUUCAUCAUUGUCUCCAAGUAGUGCUCAUUCUAAGAUGUCUUUUGAUUUACCUCAGAAGCAAGAUGGAAGUGUUUUACCUUGUUCUUCCCUGUCAAAAUCCUCUACAACCCUCUUUCCUCAUUACAGUUCACAUGAUUCUUUAACACUGACUGCCCUGAUCAAUUUUCCCCCACCACUGAACCAAGAGACAGCAGCAGUAGCAACUUCUCCACAGAUAGAUGAUGAAAUCCCUCCUCCACUUCCUGAACGGACACCUGAAUCUUUUAUUGUAGUAGAGGAAGCCGGAGAACUCCCACAGGGUGUUCCCAAAUCUUCAUCUUCACCUGUGAAGGUAAAAAUUGGAACAUCACUAGAAUGUAGUGGAACAUCUGAAUCAAAGAAAUCUGAUGAUUUGGUAAGAUUUAGACCAAGCAAGAGUAUAAAACCCCAGAGUCCAAAAUCAGAUCUACAACAAGAUCGUUCUUCUUCCCCACCACCUCCACUGCCAGAGAGAACCUUAGAGUCCUUCCUUCUUGCUGAUGAAGAUUGUAUACAGGCUCAACCUGUAGAGACUUGUUCUAGCUGUCCUAACACCAUGGAAAAUUCAGCAUCUUCAAAACAGACACUGAAACCUCCUGGAAAGAAUUUUACAAGGAGUAAGAGUUUGAAAAUUUUACGAAACGUGAAAAAGAGUAUCUGUAAUUCUUCCCCACCAAACAAGCCUGCACAGACUGUUCAGUCAAAUAACUCCAGCUCCUUUUUGAAUUUUGGUAUGUGUGCUACUUUCCAGAGU